rnacentral:tRNA from 1 species
UAGCUCAGUGGUAGAGCGCUUGCCUUGCAUGCAUGAGGACUUGGGUUCGAUUCCUCA